rnacentral:rRNA from 1 species
UGGGGAAUAUUGGACAAUGGGCGCAAGCCUGAUCCAGCAAUGCCGCGUGUGUGAAGAAGGCCUGCGGGUUGUAAAGCACUUUCAGUGGGGAAGAAACGUCUCAGGUUAAUACCCUGGGAGUUUGACGUUACCCACAGAAGAAGCACCGGCUAACUCCGUGCCAGCAGCCGCGGUAAUACGGAGGGUGCAAGCGUUAAUCGGAAUCACUGGGCGUAAAGCGCACGUAGGCGGCGCGACCAGUCAGAUGUGAAAGCCCCGGGCUCAACCUGGGAAUGGCAUUUGAUACGAUCGUGCUCGAGUCUGAGAGAGGGGGGUGGAAUUCCAGGUGUAGCGGUGAAAUGCGUAGAUAUCUGGAGGAACAUCAGUGGCGAAGGCGGCCCCCUGGUUCAAGACUGACGCUGAGGUGCGAAAGCGUGGGGAGCAAACA